UUCUGGGCUCUUUUUCUGCCUUCAAGGAGGUUCUGCGACCGUGGGUCUAGUGCUCUCAGCCGACUUGGACCACACGGCCAGUUGUCUCCUCCUGCAUGGGCCACCUAUUGGCUCGAGUGGAUCAGGCCCCUUCCCCCUUGUGGUGGUCCUGAGGAUGAGGAGUAAAGGAAUGCCAACAAUUUCAAUCGCUUUAAACCUGCCAAGCAUUAGAAGACCAUCUCUUCUACACGAGUUCACUCUCGACUUAAUCCUCAAUGUCCCAAAGCAGACAGGGACACCAGGGAACUUCUGGGCUCUUUCUCUGCCAUCAAGGAAGCUCUGCGACGCUGGGUCUAGUGCCCUCAGUGGACUUGGCC